AAUAGAUACCCCGGUAGUCCACGCCGUAAACGAUGAGUGCUAAGUGUUAGGGGGUUUCCGCCCCUUAGUGCUGCAGCUAACGCAUUAAGCACUCCGCCUGGGGAGUACGGUCGCAAGACUGAAACUCAAAAGGAAUUGACGGGGGCCCGCACAAGCGGUGGAGCAUGUGGUUUAAUUCGAAGCAACGCGAAGAACCUUACCAGGUCUUGACAUCCCAUUGACCACUAUGGAGACAUAGUUUUCCCUUCGGGGACAACGGUGACAGGUGGUGCAUGGUUGUCGUCAGCUCGUGUCGUGAGAUGUUGGGUUAAGUCCCGCAACGAGCGCAACCCUUGAUCUUAGUUGCCAGCAUUUAGUUGGGCACUCUAAGGUGACUGCCGGUGACAAACCGGAGGAAGGUGGGGAUGACGUCAAAUCAUCAUGCCCCUUAUGACCUGGGCUACACACGUGCUACAAUGGAUAGUACAAAGGGCUGCAAGACCGCGAGGUCAAGCCAAUCCCAUAAAACCCAUUCUCAGUUCGGAUUGUAGGCUGCAACUCG
rnacentral:rRNA from 1 species